AUGGCAUCCUUUUCCCAAUCCAUACAAGUCUUGUUCCUAUUUUCCCUUAUCCUUGUUCAUCAAGGACUUUCUAAUCCUUUUACACGUAUUAUCCAUGGUCUUCCUUCUGUUGGUCAUCGUCUUGCUCCUUAUUUUCCAUCACCACCUAAUAAUAAAAUUGAUCCACUUUAUGCAUCUUCACCCCGUCCUUACAAACCACCAACUGAUUAUAAGCCACCAAAUCAUAGGAAAAAUCCAGUAGAUAAGAUUCAUGUCUAA